GACGAACGCUGGCGGCGUGCUUAACACAUGCAAGUCGAACGCUGAAGCUUGGUGCUUGCACUGGGUGGAUGAGUGGCGAACGGGUGAGUAAUACGUGAGUAACCUGCCCUUGACUCUGGGAUAAGCCUGGGAAACUGGGUCCAAUACUGGAUACGACAUGUCACCGCAUGGUGGUGUGUGGAAAGGGUUUUACUGGUUUUGGAUGGGCUCACGGCCUAUCAGCUUGUUGGUGGGGUAAUGGCUCACCAAGGCGACGACGGGUAGCCGGCCUGAGAGGGUGACCGGCCACACUGGGACUGAGACACGGCCCAGACUCCUACGGGAGGCAGCAGUGGGGAAUAUUGCACAAUGGGCGGAAGCCUGAUGCAGCGACGCCGCGUGAGGGAUGACGGCCUUCGGGUUGUAAACCUCUUUCAGCACGGAAGAAGCGAAAGUGACGGUACGCGCAGAAGAAGCGCCGGCUAACUACGUG
rnacentral:rRNA from 1 species